AGCAGCCGCGGUAAUUCCAGCUCCAAUAGCGUAUAUUAAAGUUGUUGCAGUUAAAAAGCUCGUAGUUGAAUUUCGGGAUCAAUAUGUCGGUCUUGCCUUGGUACGUACUGGUAUCAUUGGUCUCUCCUUUCUGACGAACCAUGAUGUCAUUAAUUUGGUGUUAUGGGAAGUUAGGACUGUUACUUUGAAAAAAUUGAGUGUUUAAAGCAGGCUUUAGCUUGAAUACAUUAGCAUGGGAUAAUGAAAUAGGACGUUCGAACCUAUUUUGUUGGUUUCUAGGAUCAACGUAAUGAUUAAUAGGGAUAGUUGGGGGCAUUAGUAUUCAAUUGUCAGAGGUGAAAUUCUUGGAUUUAUUGAAGGCUAACUACUGCGAAAGCAUUUGCCAAGGAUGUUUUCAUUAAUCAAGAACGAAAGUUAGGGGAUCGAAGACGAUCAGAUACCGUCGUAGUCUUAACCAUAAACUAUGCCGACUAGGGAUCGGAUGAUGUUAAUUUUUUAAUGACUCAUUCGGCGCCUUACG
rnacentral:misc_RNA from 1 species